rnacentral:sRNA from 1 species
AUGCUUGCUGGCGGCUCCGGGCGGGUGGGGAGAUCUGCAGGGUCCCUUUGUUCCCGUCUGGCCAGGACAGUGUCCAGUGGCAUGAGUUGCCAUGGGGACUGCCAUCUGCUGUGUGGAUACCUAUCGGAGGGGCCCAGGCCUGUGGAGCCCAGGCCUCUUGGAGCAUCUUUGGGGCUGACGCAGCGGAGGUUCCGGGCACACGUGGCCACUCCCAGCAGGAGGCUGCCAUGCCCCACAUUCCCGAGGACGAGGAGCCCCCCGGAGAGCCACAGGCAGCCCAGAGCCCUGCCGGCCAACAGGGUCCUCCUACCGCAGGAGUAUCUUGCAGUCCACCUCCCACGAUUGUCCUGACUGGGGAUGCCACUUCACCAGAAGGAGAAACCGACAAAAACCUGGCCAACAGAGUUCACAGUCCCCACAAGAGGCUUUCUCACCGACACUUGAAGGUGUCCACUGCCUCCCUGACAUCUGUGGCGCAUUAGCUUGUGAAAGAAACAGGCCAGAAGCAAGAAUGCACUGGGGGCGCAGACAGCGCUGGAGACCCCACGGGGCACAUCAUUGACCUGG